CCCUUAGAUGUUCUGGGCUGCACGCGCGCUACACUGAUACACUCAACGAGUUCCUGUCUUGAAAGAGUCGGGUAAUCAUUUGAGCGUGUAUCGUGAUGGGGAUAGAAUAUUGUAAUUAUUACUCUUCAACGAGGAAUUCCUAGUAGUCACUGCUCAUCAGACAGUGACGACUAUGUCCCUGCCCUUUGUACACACCGCCCGUCGCUCCUACCGAUUGGGUGAUCCGGUGAACUGGUCGGACUGCUGUUUGAAAUUGCGGGUGCAGUUGAUUCACGGGAAGUCUAGUAAACCUUAUCAUCUAGAGGAAGGAGAAGUCGUAACA
rnacentral:rRNA from 1 species